CUCUCCCUGUCUGUUCUGCAGCUCAGUCAAGUACAGCCGCCCUCGGAAAGUGCCAAAGCAGCCACGAGACAGAUCCAGGCUUUGUUGCUAAUUUCCCAGGGUGAAAAUUGACAAGCCUGCGAGUGCACUCAGCACAACCCAAUGCAUAUGCUCCUGACAAACGCUGAGGACCAUCCCCUCCCGCCCAUCCCCAUCACACAGAGAAUGUGACCUCUGCGGGACUGGACUCCGGAAGGACCGUCCCUCCUGGACUUACCCACAAGAAGAACUGCGAAAGAGCUCGGGAGGAGAAGGAUGAAAACUUUAAGGAACAAUGAAGGAGAGAGGUGCCGCUCUGAACCGGUGCACUGUGCAGUUCACCUUGGCUUCUGUGUGGAACUCCCUACUCAUCAGAGACUGGAUUUCUCUUCAUUUUCCAGUGUGGAAGACAUAUGUGGCGUCAAUUAUUCCAGGACCCCAGAUCGUUCCACUUUCUCUUUCAAUGUGAACAGGUAUCCUAAGAAGGCCCCCAACCAGUGAAGAUCAAGCCAAGCGUUGGUGGUUGGUGACAAGGGACAAAAAGCAUCUCUUAUGGUGACUAGCUUCUAGAAGCUUCUUGGGACAUGUUAACAAUUACUAUCUUAUGCAAAAAUAUUAAACUUCUUAGCUAAGGGGCAUUCAUCAUGUUAUCGGUCUUCUCAGUUCCUAGACUUCUGUAAAAUUUUGUGAAUUCUUUUAAGGUAAUUAUAUCCUGUAUUGUCUGCUAGACUAAACAUCUGACAAUUCAAAUUUUAACUAAUUUCAUACAGGAAUAAAUGGAAUGUUUUGCUCACUAUAGAUAUUUAUUAACAGGGAUCAAGUUGAUUUGAAUUAAACAAGGAAGUCAGUCUUAAACAUAAUGUUUACAACAUUAAUUUAAGUUGUUGAUAAAGAGAAGAUUCUAUCAUGCUAUUUAAUAUUAUUUGUUUUCAUCAUAUGUAUAAAUGAUAAAUGUAAAAGAUUUCUACAACAUGAUGUAAAGGUUUAUUUUGUCAUCUGUCUUCAUGAAUACAUCCUAAGUUUUUAGAGUCCUAUUCUGGUUCAUCAUCUUCAGCUCUGCCUCAAAGAGUAGCACAUAAUGAGUCCUUCCUAACUGUUUGCUACAGGAAGGGAUAAAUGCAAAAAAUAAUACAUGAUUGGAAAAAU